AUGAUAGGUAUAUUUUGGAAUUGUAGGGGGGCAGGUAAGAAAGGCAUGUCUAGCUGUCUCACUGACAUGAUUAGUGCCAAUGGGGUAGAUUUCCUUGGGUUGCAAGAAACUAUGAAAAGCAACUACACUCCUUCCUUUUUUAGGAAGCUAGAUCCAUAUCAAAAGUUUCAUUGGGAAUGGAACCCUUCUAGGGGAAAAUCUGGAGGCAUCCUUUGUGGUGUGAAUAAAAAUAAGUUUGAUACCCUAGGAGUGAAACAUGGGAAAUUUAUUUACAAAUUGACCUUUUUGACAAAAGCAAAAAGAGUAAGUGGGCCUUGA
rnacentral:rRNA from 1 species